rnacentral:tRNA from 1 species
AGAAAUUUAGGUUAAAUCAAACCGUGAGCCUUCAAAGCUUAAAACAGGAACUGAACCCCCUAACUUCUG